rnacentral:tRNA from 2 species
GGGUGAAUGUCCGAACGGCUAAGGGGUCGGUCUCGAAAACCGAUAAAGCUAUUAUACAGCUCUCAGGGUUCGAAUCCCUGUUCACCCG